AUUGAACGCUGGCGGCAUGCCUUACACAUGCAAGUCGAACGGCAGCAUGAUCUAGCUUGCUAGAUUGAUGGCGAGUGGCGAACGGGUGAGUAAUACAUCGGAACGUGCCCUGUAGUGGGGGAUAACUAGUCGAAAGAUUAGCUAAUACCGCAUACGACCUGAGGGUGAAAGUGGGGGACCGCAAGGCCUCAUGCUAUAGGAGCGGCCGAUGUCUGAUUAGCUAGUUGGUGGGGUAAAGGCCCACCAAGGCGACGAUCAGUAGCUGGUCUGAGAGGACGAUCAGCCACACUGGGACUGAGACACGGCCCAGACUCCUACGGGAGGCAGCAGUGGGGAAUUUUGGACAAUGGGGUCAACCCUGAUCCAGCAAUGCCGCGUGUGUGAAGAAGGCCUUCGGGUUGUAAAGCACUUUUGUCCGGAAAGAAAUCGCACUUACUAAUAUUAGGUGUGGAUGACGGUACCGGAAGAAUAAGGACCGGCUAACUACGUG
rnacentral:rRNA from 1 species